CCUACGGGUGGCAGCAGUGGGGAAUUUUGGACAAUGGGCGCAAGCCUGAUCCAGCUAUUCCGCGUGUGGGAUGACGGCCCUCGGGUUGUAAACCACUUUAGUAGAGAACGAAAAGGAGCUAUCGAAUAAAUAGCUCUGCUGACGGUACUCUAAGAAUAAGCACCGGCUAACUACGUGCCAGCAGCCGCGUUAAUACGUAGGGUGCGAGCGUUAAUCGGAAUUACUGGGCGUAAAGGGGGUGCAGGCGGCUGAGUAAGACAGAUGUGAAAUCCCCGGGCUUAACCUGGGAACGGCUGAUGUGACUGGUUGGCUGGAGUGCGUGAGGGGGAGGUGGAAGUCGAGGUGUAGCAGUGAAAUGCGUAGAUAGGUGGAAGAAAACCGAUGGCGAAGGCAGCCUCCUGGGACGCAACUGACGCUCAUACACGAAAGCGUGGGGAGCAAACAGGAUUAGAUACCCGGGUAGUC
rnacentral:rRNA from 1 species